GCCGCCGGGCUCCCGCAGGGCUCGAGCUCGCCCGGGGAAGGCGGCGGGGCCGCGCGGUUUCGGCGAAGAGAGCGACGGCCGCUUCUCUUGAGGUUGACGGCAGUGGAGUGACGCUGGCCCUCUCGGCGGCUGCCAGACCCGAGUCUCUCCGCGGGUGCGGGGCAGAGCCGUGCGGGAUCCUGGAACUGCAGUGACAGCCUCUUCUUAAGACCAAGGGCGUCCGGGGGCUUCGUACAUCUUCCAGCUCGGAGCUGCUCAUCGGGAGGGCGGCAGCCGCCUUCUCUCCCAGAUACACCGUGGUUCGCCAUCGGGAAAGUAAGGGAGCGCUGGGUCUUGGAGAGCACAGACCGCUAGCUGACCUGAACACAGGGGACGUCAGGAUCUGGCUCCCAGCCCCUGCCCUCUGAAGGUGCGCUGGUGACUGGUGAGCAGGACCGCCCCUCCCUGCCCAGAGCCUCCAGAAUGCCGCACUGUUUCUGCCAGCCUUACCCUCGUCUUGCCUCCCGGCCACCCACCAGCCUGGAACCACAGAGUGCCGGCUCGGCUCCCGACCCCCCCCAGAGAGCUGAGUGAGGUGACGGACGACAGGCUCCCCUGGCUGUGUGGCAAGAGCGUGCACGCCCAGGCAGUCCACUGCAGGGGACUCCUGGGAGGGAAAGAGUCACGGAUUGCUGUGUUCUGGCUAGCUCCCCAGGGGCACUAACCUAGAGGUGGCAGCGGGCACUAGGAGGCCCUGAGUGGCCCUGGGGAUAACCGAGGGGUCCUGUAGAAUGCAGAUCAUGAAUCUAAAACGUGUCUGUCCCGAGUAGGAUGAGGAAGUCUGUCUGCAUUCAGUCCUCACAAGCAGCCAGUGGGCAGGGGCCGGGGGACCAGUUCCAACACCACUGCCAGUGCCUUGCCACUGCAGUUGGCCGUCCCACUGUUACUUUGCAUGUCUCACCUGUAAAACGGUCACCUCAGCAGCCACCUCUACAAGGUGGGACCCCUACCUUCCUGUCACUGCUAAUGAGACGAGAGACGCACAGCCGAACCAGUCAGCUCCUCUCCUGGGACCCAAGACUGGAAUUGGAACCACCGUCCUGUCACGUCUGUUUGUGAGAAGUGAGAUGGAGUAGGACUGUCAUCUUCCACCCUGUGCGUGGAGACAGGGUAAUGACCAAGGGACUGUGUGAGCCAGGGACAGGGAGCCAGACCCAGCAGCUGACUCAAGAUGGUUUGUGAUGGUUCCCACUUUGCUCUCGUGGGAGACCCACAGCCUUUCAAGGUGGCCCGGCUUAUCAGAAAGCAGCCUCGGGUCCCUCCCGUACCUCUGCGUCUUUUAUCUAAAGGGCCUCUGAGUGAAUUUCUGUUUCUUCCGACCCAAGGAGGCUGGGGGAGAGCAGGGACAAAAGGUUGAUCCGUAGGAGGCUACGGUAAUAAAAACACAGAGUCAGGAGUAAGGAAGGUGAACGCUCUGCUCUGUUCUGCCCAGGCUCCCCCUGAAGUGUCCUGCUGGCUUAUAGGUGUGGAAUAUUAAGAGGACAUAGCCUGGUUAGAAUGCCUUCAGGAGAGAGGAACCAGAUAACAAGGACAAGAGCCCUUCUUUCUGGAACCCUUUACCCUGGAGUGCCUGGGAGAUCGGCACGUGUGCCUUCAUUCACGUGGUCACCGACUGCCCACUGGGAGCCUGGCUGCCGAAGGCCCCGUACAGGCCAGGCCACUGAGGGUCCCCCGUGCACCAGGCUGAGAACAAGACAGGUGAGACCCCGCUCUCAAGGAACUCACAUUCUAGUGGAGAGAGACAGAACCCAGUUUUAUUGGGGGAGGGGGUGCAACUUCAGAAAAAGAAUAUAAAACCUAGUCAUGAGCUGACAUAACGGGGGGCACUUUAGAUCUGAGGGCUCAGGGAGGCCUCCUGGAGAGGAUCACACUGAAGGGCAAGAAGAAGGGGCCGGGGGGCGUCUGAUAGCGUGUGGAACCCACACGGCCAUCACAGCCACCACCGUCAUUUUAAGCACAUUCCAAAGAAUGACUGGACUUGAAGUACGUUCUGAGUUUGCGUUACAGACCUGUCUGCCCGUCUGGAACUUCCUUAGAGCCCAUCCCACAAAACAGUAGCGGGGCUCUGUGAGGUGCGCCGCGUGCAGGCCUGCGUCCCCAGAGCCGGGAGGCCUUCUCCGUCUCACCCUCAGAGCGAACCUCCAAGCCGCAGCCCAUCUGUGGAUGAAGAAGCCAGGACUUGUAAGGCAUAAAGCCGGCGCACGGGGGAGCCGGCUGUGGUUGCCCACCUCUGUGUCUCAUUCGGUCACUUCCUCCCCCAGGGGACGGGAAAGAGCUGCAGAGGUGUGGUAGGAUUCAGGCCUGGGUCCCCGGCGUCUGCAGAGAACCUGCCGCCUGCAGUCGAAGGGGAGAUUUUCGUGGUCUCGGCGUGCAGUGCCAUGUCCCCAGCCAGACCUGGAGGCAGCUUGACGUUCAGGAAAGACAUCUGGGUCUCAGCCAUAAUUGGCCUGCACCAGGCUCAUGGUCCACCAGGCACGAUGGGACAAACGGGAGGGUGCAGAAGCCGCUGCUGCGCACAGGCGGAGUGACCUGGGAGGUGGUCUUGACUCCCUCCGUCUCACAUCCCUCAUCCUUAUCAAGGGGAGCUCACGGAGAGUGCUCUCAGCAGAGCCCUGGGAAAGCAAAGGUAGCCCCAAGCUCCCGAGUGACCGUGGCCCACCGUGGCCCCAGGGACUGCACACCUGCUUGCAGAGAAUGUCGGGGUGGGGUGGGGCACACUCUAUCUCCGUCCGCGUGUGAGUGUCCAGCAGCCCCAACAGAAAUGUGGCAGGGGCCACAGGCCUGAUUUUACGCUUUCUCGUGGCUCCGUUAGGAAAGUAACAAGAGGGGCGCCUGGGUGGCUCAGUGGGUUAAAGCCUCUGCCUUCGGCUCAGGUCAUGGUC